CAUAGAGAGAACGAACAAGAGGAAAGAAAGUUCAUUUAAGUGGAGAAAGAUAUAAGAAGACCGCCAUGUUGUGUCCUUUCUGUGGCCAGCAUCUGGGGACAGUUCAAGUGCUCUGUGGCUCCUGUGGCAAACAUGUACAGUUUGUGGCAGAAGUUGAACACAACAGCAUUCCAUUAGGAGGGUCAGGAACUCCCGCUUGGGACCACCAGUGUCCACUCCAUCCUCAGUUUGUCCCUCAUCGUCAGUAAACUUAACCUGCAUCUGAUGAGAGGGGUCGAAUGAGGCCCCUUUGAAGCCGCGGAUUGCUUUGGAAAUGUAUGAAAGUAUAAUUGUUCUGCUUCCUGGCAAUGUUACCCACUGUGAUUGGAGGCUAUGCAAACAACCAAAUGUACAAAUAAAAAUACACACCAAACAACUGUGUCACGAUGCAACUGUCAACAUCGUUUACCUAUAGACAGGGGCGGACUGGGACUACAAAUCAGCCCG